AAUGGCAAUUACAAUGGGAAGCAAGGCUGUAAGGCGGAGCGAAUCCGGAAAGAAUGCCUCAGUUCGGAUUGUUCUCUGCAACUCGGGAACAUGAAG
rnacentral:ncRNA from 1 species